rnacentral:rRNA from 1 species
GUGCCAGCCGCCGCGGUAAUACCGGCAGCCCGAGUGAUGGCCGAUCUUAUUGGGCCUAAAGCGUCCGUAGCUGGCCGCGCAAGUCCAUCGGGAAAUCCACCCGCCCAACGGGUGGCCGUCCGGUGGAAACUGCACGGCUUGGGACCGGAAGGCGCGACGGGUACGUCCGGGGUAGGAGUGAAAUCCUGUAAUCCUGGACGGACCACCGAUGGCGAAAGCACCUUGGAAGGACGGAUCCGACAGUGAGGGACGAAAGCUAGGGUCUCGAACCGGAUUAGAUACCCGAGUAGUCC